UAAUACGGAGGGUGCAGGCGUUAUCCGGAUUCACUGGGUUUAAAGGGUGCGUAGGUGGACUAGUAAGUCAGUGGUGAAAUCUCCGGGCUUAACUCGGAAACUGCCAUUGAUACUAUUAGUCUUGAAUACCAUGGAGGUGAGCGGAAUAUGUCAUGUAGCGGUGAAAUGCUUAGAUAUGACAUAGAACACCAAUUGCGAAGGCAGCUCGCUACGUGGUUAUUGACACUGAGGCACGAAAGCGUGGGGAUCAAACAGGAUUAGAUACCCUGGUAGUCCACGCCCUAAACGAUGGAUACUCGACAUCAGCGAUACACUGUUGGUGUCUGAGCGAAAGCAUUAAGUAUCCCACCUGGGAAGUACGACCGCAAGGUUGAAACUCAAAGGAAUUGACGGGGGUCCGCACAAACCGUGGAGCAUGUGGUUUAAUUCGAUGAUACGCGAAGAACCUUACCUGGGCUAGAAUGCAUUUGAACGUGGGUGAAACUCACUUUGUANCCAUACACAA
rnacentral:rRNA from 1 species